GGAUGCGAUCAUACCAGUACUAAAGCACCGGAUCCCAUUAGAACUUCAAAGUUAAGCGUGCUUGGGUGAGAGUAGUACUAGGUUGGGUGACCUCCUGGGAAGUCCUUGUGUUGCAUUCC
rnacentral:rRNA from 1 species